AAACAGAAGCCUUCGGGUGGAAGAUUUGUGGAUUGAGCGGCGGACGGGUGAGUAACACGUGGGCAACCUACCUAUAAGACUGGGAUAACUCGUGGAAACAGGAGCUAAUACCGGAUGUAUCGUUUGAACGCAUGUUCAAACAAAUAAAGGCGGCUUUACGGCUGUCACUUAUAGAUGGGCCCGCGGCGCAUUAGCUAGUUGGUGGGGUAAUGGCUCACCAAGGCGACGAUGCGUAGCCGACCUGAGAGGGUGAUCGGCCACACUGGGACUGAGACACGGCCCAGACUCCUACGGGAGGCAGCAGUAGGGAAUCUUCCGCAAUGGACGAAAGUCUGACGGAGCAACGCCGCGUGAACGAUGAAGGUUUUCGGAUCGUAAAGUUCUGUUGUUAGGGAAGAACACGUACCGUUCAAAUAGGGCGGUACCUUGACGGUACCUAACGAGAAAGCCCCGGCUAACUACGUGCCAGCAGCCGCGGUAAUACGUAGGGGGCAAGCGUUGUCCGGAAUUAUUGGGCGUAAAGCGCGCGCAGGCGGUCUUUUAAGUCUGAUGUGAAAUCUUGCGGCUCAACCGCAAGCGGUCAUUGGAAACUGGAAGACUUGAGUGCAGAAGAGGAGAGUGGAAUUCCAUGUGUAGCGGUGAAAUGCG
rnacentral:rRNA from 1 species